AGUCGAGGGGUAUAGUUCUUCGGAAUUAGAGACCGGCGCACGGGUGCGUAACGCGUAUGCAAUCUACCUUUUACAGAGGGAUAGCCCAGAGAAAUUUGGAUUAAUACCUCAUAGUAUUAUGAAAUGGCAUCAUUUUAUAAUUAAAGUCACAACGGUAAAAGAUGAGCAUGCGUCCCAUUAGCUAGUUGGUAAGGUAACGGCUUACCAAGGCUACGAUGGGUAGGGGUCCUGAGAGGGAGAUCCCCCACACUGGUACUGAGACACGGACCAGACUCCUACGGGAGGCAGCAGUGAGGAAUAUUGGACAAUGGGCGCAAGCCUGAUCCAGCCAUGCCGCGUGCAGGAUGACGGUCCUAUGGAUUGUAAACUGCUUUUAUACGAGAAGAAACACUACUUCGUGAAGUAGCUUGACGGUAUCGUAAGAAUAAGGAUCGGCUAACUCCGUGCCAGCAGCCGCGGUAAUACGGAGGAUCCAAGCGUUAUCCGGAAUCAUUGGGUUUAAAGGGUCCGUAGGCGGUUUAAUAAGUCAGUGGUGAAAGCCCAUCGCUCAACGGUGGAACGGCCAUUGAUACUGUUAAACUUGAAUUAUUAGGAAGUAACUAGAAUAUGUAGUGUAGCGGUGAAAUGCUUAGAGAUUACAUGGAAUACCAAUUGCGAAGGCAGGUUACUACUAAUGGAUUGACGCUGAUGGACGAAAGCGUGGGUAGCGAACAGGAUUAGAUACCCUGGUAGUCCACGCCGUAAACGAUGGAUACUA
rnacentral:rRNA from 1 species